GCCAUGCACACACUGACUUCCUUCGUGAAGUAUUGUCAGCUCUACUGCUAUUCUGAACCCUAUCCAGUAAGUAAGCCAGAAGUUACACGGAAUUUAAAUGGAAGUAAGCCAGAAGGUACCCGGAAGUUACACAGAAGUUAAACGGAAGUAAGCCAGAAGGUACCCGGAAGUUACACAGAAGUUAAACGGAAGUAAGCCAGAGGUUACACGGAAGUUACCCGGAAGUAAGCCAGAGGUUGCACGGGAGCAAGCCAGAAGUUACACGGAAAAGUUACAAGGAAGCCAGAAGUAUUCUUGUUUUUGGGCGAAGUUACCCGGAAGUUACUCGGAAGUUACACAGAAGUUACCCGGAAGUAAGCCAGAAGUAAGGUGUACAGGGCAUGGUUGAGGAAGAAGAGGAAAAUGAGCCUGAAAUGGGGAUGGAGGAGUCUGUGUCCAUGUACAAUAUUGCUGGUGCGGAUGAGAGAGAGGAGUACGGUGUGGAAAACGGAGAGGAAAACAUGCAUGUUAAUGGAUCGUAUUUCAUGUUGUAUGGAUUGUAUCAGUAAAAUCUCUUGAGUUUGUGUAUAAAUGUCGGACAGAGUACUUUGUAAUCUACAUUUUUUUUGUUUGUUUUGAGUGAAACAUUCAACCAGUAUUUUUUUUUCAUGAUUUAACAAUACAAUUGUACUUUCUUCUAGUUUCAUACUAUCUUGAAUCUGUGUGUAAAUACUUAUAAUUUAAUUUUACAUUUUAUCUGAAGUCUGAGUAACAGAUAAGCUACAGUCAGCAUGUCUGUAUUUAAGAUUUAUAUAACCUGUCCAGUACACAAUCUUCCCAAUAAACUCAAAAACAUUUGCACAACUCCAAAUGAAGCAAGAGUUGAACUUUGAUGUAAUUGAAGUGUACCACUUGGAGAAUAAGAAAUUAAAGUUAUCCAAUAA